CGGACGGGUGAGUAAUGUAUGGGGAUCUGCCUGAUGGCGGGGGGUAACUACUGGAAACGGUAGCUAAUACCGCAUAAUGUCUACGGACCAAAGCGGGGGGACCUCCGGGCCUCGCGCCAUCAGAUGAACCAUAUGGGAUUAGCUUGUAGGUAAGGUAACGGCUUACCUAGGCGACGAUCCCUAGCUGGUCUGAGAGGAUGAUCAGCCACACUGGGACUGAGACACGGCCCAG
rnacentral:rRNA from 1 species